UAGGGAAUUUUCCACAAUGGGCGAAAGCCUGAUGGAGCAACGCCGCGUGCAGGAUGAAGGCCCUCGGGUCGUAAACUGCUUUUGUUUGUGACGAUUAUGACAGUAGCAAACGAAUAAGGAUCGGCUAACUACGUGCCAGCAGCCGCGGUCAUACGUAGGAUCCGAGCGUUAUCCGGAAUCACUGGGCGUAAAGAGUUGCGUAGGUGGUUUGUUAAGCGAAUAGUGAAAUCUUGUGGCUCAACCAUAAGGCUAUUGUUCGAACUGACAGACUAGAGUUUGGUAGAGGUUAUUGGAAUUCCAAGUGUAGGAGUGAAAUCCGUAGAUAUUUGGAGGAACACCGAUGGCGUAGGCAGAUAACUGGACCAAUACUGACACUAAGGCACGAAAGCGUGGGGAGCGA
rnacentral:rRNA from 1 species